UCCAUAUGGAGUAGCUUAGUCAACUUAAG
rnacentral:piRNA from 1 species